GGGAGGUGUCGAGGAGCUUUGGCCGGCCGGGAGUUGCGUGUCCCUUGGCCCCAAAGCCAAGAACAGCUCAUCUACAGGAGAAAUGUCCCUUGGAGUUACUGCAGCAGUCCCACGCUCUUUCCUCUCUAACUCUGCUAAAUGUACUUGACUGCACAAAACUUCAUAAAGAGAGUCUCUCCGUGCUAAAGAACUGGAGCUGGCACACAAGCUGUAAAGAGCAGAGUCAGUGCCCAAAAUUUAAUUUGUCUGGAGCUUCAAAUCGUUAUUAUUCCACUAGAGGGAGUACAGUGAAGGCAAACACUCAGGAACUGGCAGCAACGCGGAGUGUGGUGAAUAGUUACUUCUGGAGAAGCAGUAACACCUACUUUACCAGUUUCUGUGCAAGAGUUCAUUCCUUUCCUCCUUGUCUAACCCCUGUGACAGCAGCUUUUGAAUCUGAAGUAGUAAAUAUCACGAGUUUUCCACAUGAGCAGGACAGGCGGAUUUAGAGCUCUGACAUGUGUCUAAAGACGGAACUGGAAAUGCUGAUGCAUAUUUAUUCAUCAUUUUUUGAGUAUCUGCACUUCAGAAAACCUCUCUGACAUAGUGAUGGAAAGUAACAGUACCCUUUUUACAGCUAAAAUAGAUUUAUACUACAAUUGCAUGACCACAUUUGAAGUUCACGUACUCCACAAAAGUACGGGUUUUAUAAUCUCAUUACCUCACUGACAAAAAUCUUGUUUCUACCAAGUCUGCUCCGUGCCACAAAACACCAAACACAGUGAAAACCCUAAACAAAACUAUUCUGGGAGUGAUACCACAUCUGUGAAUUGAGAGCUUCCAACAAUCAUUGAGAAAACAUUCCUGUGGAACAGCUGUUGUUGUCUCAAUAUUGCUACACAGGAAGAAAUUCUGGCAGAAUACAUCAAGGGAAGCUGAGCAAGGCUUAAAAAAUAGCUGGCUAGGAACAAAAGCAUGGGAGAUGAAAAGGACAUAAGAGAGUCUAAAGACACCGGUUAAAACAUCGAGAUCACAAAUAUUCUGGACCAGGAGAAAUCAAUUAGGACAAGAGGUUAGUCAGUUCAAAGGAAAACAGCUUUAUGAUAAAGAGCACCUUGAACUUCUACAGUAAGAACUGAAAGUGUUGUAAUGGUCAAAACACAGGCAUGCAGGUUUUGGGGAGGACAAACAAAUGCUUGUCUUGUGGUGAACCAAAUCGUAUUCAAUGGUGGGUAGGCAAGAAAUACUGCUAGAAAAAUUUAGUUAUUUCAAAUAUGCAUAGUCUUGGCUUGUUUUGUUUCAUUGUUGGGGUUUUUUUUAACUUCCCUUAAAGAUUCCCUGUUCCAGCCAGAUAAGUAAUGGGUGAGCAAAGUCGGGCAGGGCCAUCACAUCCUCUUACAAAUACCAGUUUCAGUUUUGUCCACACAGUUAAUCGAAGAGCCUGGCAGGAAAACAACUGCCGUGUGUGCCCUGGCAUGGAGGAAGUUCCAGGAAAGAGGAAAAAGUUCCAGUCUGGAGCACAGAGGAAGCAAGCAGAGAGUCAGCCUGGCUGUGCUGAAUGGGACAAUGAAUAAUUAAUUAACUUACAUUUAAACGUCUCUGCUUCCAGAACUUGGCAGCUGGCUUGAUGCUCAAACUGAUCAUCUUCACAGAGGAAAUCAUGGCAAAAAGAGCAGGCGAAUAUUCUGCCUCCUGAAAGAUUGAUCAGGGUAAAAUAAUCAACAACAGGCUCAGGCAUCAAGUCUUGCUCUGCAAACAAUUUAGGCAGCAGUUUUGACUGCAGACCAGUUCUCCCCACUGUCACAAAUGCUUCAAGGUCCUAAAUCGGACACUGCCGUCCUCCUUAUCCUACAAUAUAAGACAGCAUAACUACAAAGUAAGCAUUACUUCUGGUACUUUUCUUCAUUUUAAUUUGACUGUAGCAUUAACUGUUUUUCUUAGAUCAGAUCACACUCUCACCCAGUCUUCUCUGCUCGGCUCUGACACACACCUGAAAUAAACACUUCAAAGGAUUCCACAAAUGGAGACCAGUAAGCAACUGGGAAUCCAAAUACCUGCGCUAGUGCAGAAGAACGGAGUAAGAAUGGCAAGAAACUGCGUUGGCAAUUUGAUGCAGUGCUUAGUUAUGUGAAUAAUUAAGCUGAUAGAACCAUUAUAAUUUAGAUUACAGCAUCAUCCCUGAGCUGAGCACUGUAUGCUCUUGAGCAGGUCAUUUACUUUCCCCGCUGCAUAAUGAGUGUUUUUAAAAUAGGGAGGAUCCCUGCUUUGAACAAACAUACUGCAAGGCCUAAUCAGUGAAGACUGAAAAGGCAGUGUUAAGAAUAUAGGGGCACUAACUUAAGCAAUGGAAGGAAAGGAGUGUAAUUCAUAUUUUGAGACGUGAACAACCUACCGUGGUCCCAGACGCUCCUCUCGCACUCGACGCACUCCGCGUCUGCCAGAGGGCAGGUACAGGCGUGGGUGCUGAGACACUUCCUCCCGUGACACACCCAGGCUUCACAGAAAUCACAGAUUGCACCCUGCAACCGCAGCGAGGCACCACCUCAGGGCUUUGCAACACCAGCACAGACCUGUCCCACCACCCCCAGCGCAUCCCAGCGUCCCUCCUCUCCACGGGCCCGCUUUGGCUGAGUGGGAGCGCUGAACCGAGCCCAGCUGCUCCACAGUUCAUGUCUGCUCGUCGUUCAUCUCUGCACGAUUAACUACGAUGCAAAAUCCUUUGCUUAUCUAUCUCAGCUCUGGGUUUUUACAUCUCUUGUCGCUUCUUUUGCACACGGUGAAUUGUGUCCUCCAGCUGAAACCUGGGAUCCAUAAACUAUAACAAUGUUCUGGCAGAAAUGAAAUUUCAAAGAAAUGCCUCUAGACUCUUACAGCUGAAAUCGCUCAUUUGGAGUUUAAACUCUGCUACAUUAGAGCACAAGCUCUGCAGAGAGCAAAGAUCAUCACAAGCAAGUUAAGACUCUUUGACUUUUGACUAUAUGGUAAGAUCUCCACUUCAGCUGUCCUUAACUGUAGCAUUUAGGAAGCCUUUCCAGCCCACAGGUAACUGAUUGCUGUGUGCGUUACAUGCACACGGAGCCAAGGAAACAAGGAUGAACCCAAACCUCACGGCUGGUGCAUUCACUCCUGCACCAGUGAAUGCACGGGGUGAGUUCAGAACAGCAGCAUGUAAAGGCUGGCUGUGUUUCUGAGAACAGCUGACAGCCAGCUGCAGGCAGCAGCAGCACACAGGUUUAGCCCAUUUAAUCCAGAGGCUCUGACAGGUCCCACCUCGCUUCUCAGAAUGCAGACACUAACUUGUCCUGCUAAGCACAAAACUUCAAAGGCCUGAAGAUAUGAUUGUCUCUAAUUAAGAGCCCAAAAGAGGGGGUUUGUUCAUUAAAAUUCCCCUCUAAUGGAACAGAUUCCUCUCUGUGGUGCUGAUGAUCUCUGCAGCACUAAGAUAGAGACAAAAGUCUGCAGGUUUCUGCAGAAUAAUCCUACAUUUUAAUGAUGCUGGGAAUUGUCUGGGGGCAUGUAAAGGUCCAGUGCAUGUGCUUAGGGCCUGCCACCAACACAGAUCCAUUAGCAUCCACGACAUGUGCUGGAGUUUGCAGGAGCUGAAUCUAAAAAUGAAGGACUUGGGGAUUUCAGUACAAGGGAAAAAUCAGUUUGUUACAGAAAAGCGGGGGAAAAAGCCAACUUGGCAGGGUGCACACUAUCAUUCCAUAAAUCUGUUGUAUCAUUUUUUCCAGGAAGAUGUGCACAGAAUAUCCUCACAGUGCAAACAAAAAGGCUGUAAUUUUGUAUACAUACCACCAUAGCUAGUCCAGUACUGUACACACCAGCAUGCUUUAUAACACAGUCUGAAGACUUCAUCAUGCAUUUGGUUUUUCCUGUUUAAAAUAAAAAGGCAAGCAACCAUAAGAAAACUGUGUAAAAAUAAACUUUUAAAACAAGUAGAAUGUAAGAACAGCAGUUCGACGAAAUGCCUGUGCUUAGCCAUAAAUCUGGGUAAGAACAAUGCAAAGAUGUUUGCGUUAAAUCAAUUGUUUGUUUUCAGUCAAAUCUCUUGCCCCUGGAAAAUCUCUUGCCUCUCUCCCAGAGAGGAGACUUGUGACACAGUGCCCCUGCACACUAACAGCCUGGCUUCCAGAAACGCUCAGCCUCUGCAGGUCACAGCAAAGGCACUGAAAGCUGCACGUCAGCACCUCCGAGAGUCAAACUCCAAAGCAGCCAAACUGCUUCAGGGCAAAGGGAAAUCUGCAGUGAUGUGCUGGAACAGUGCAACAACAAAAGUCACCUCAGUAUGAAAUGAAUAUCAACACCUCCUGUAAGCAAACAGCUGUUUAAAAACAAAGGGCAUUUUGAGCCCUUCUCUUCUAAUUUCAAAGCACCAGCCCUCAACCCCACGUAAAUAACAAGAGUUGCACGUUACAUUACAACCCCAUGCAAGGUAAAUAACAUAUUGUUGCUUCAAUUGAUAUUGAAUUGAUCAGAAAUUAUAUAAUCCCUAAAAAAGCAGUAUUUAUUGGUGCCUUGCUUGCAGUCAGAGCUUCUUCAGUUUUGCUGCUGUUAUGAAACAAUGCUCCUCAUGGUCAAUCUAUGGAAACUGUCACACCUCUCAAACCUAAAAGAAAGCCAGACAAAUUCUUCCAAAGAUUAGCCACGAUCCAGGCCUGCAAACCUCUGGGGGCUGGAUGCACAUAUACUGAUCAAACAAGAUCACUUCUCAAGGAGGACACUCACAGCAGAUUCAAAAGGACAUCACAGAGGUCCUUUAGGAUAAAUCUACUGUAACAGAGGUACUGAGAGCUGAACACCACGAACAGGACUGAGAACACCUCGUUCUCACCCAUUAUUUCUACUCACCACACUGUGCACAAAUGGGCAGCUUCUGAACAGAGUUACAGAAGUAACAAAAAGCUCUAUUCUUCUGUCGUCUGGGCACACAGAGGGGAAAAAAACAAAAAGGAAGUGUUAAGCAUUAAAAAAAAAAACCUGUAAAAUGUCUGAAACAAACUGCUGGUUUUAGAAGGGUAAAGAUUCUUACCUUUGGCACUUGUCACAUUCCUAAAGAGAAGAAAUAAAACUCUGGUGAUUAUUUUCAUUCUAGGUAAAAUACAUAAAAUUUACAGACCUCCACAGGGAGCUACAGUUAGGAUCCAAACCUUUUAAUCAAUAUUCCCUCCUGGUGCAAACAUAACCUUAAAUAUCAAGGAAGGAUAGCAGGAAGAAGGGCAUUCCAGUGGCAUUAAAUGCAGUCAAGGUAUUUAUCACUGGGUUUUAAGGUAUUUUAAGACAGAACACUUGAGGUUAAUUUACCAUUGAAGCAUUACAGGGAUGUUUGGCCAGGUCUAUG